UACAUGGGGUGCAAACGUUGCUCGGAAUCAUUGGGCGUAAAGCGCGCGUAGGCGGUUACUUAAGUCGGAUGUGAAAGCCCUCGGCUUAACUGAGGAAGUGCAUCCGAAACUGAGUAGCUGGAGUACGAAAGAGGGUCGCGGAAUUCCCGGUGUAGAGGUGAAAUUCGUAGAUAUCGGGAGGAACACCGGUGGCGUAGGCGGCGACCUGGGUCGAGACUGACGCUGAGGCGCGAAAGCGUGGGGAGCAAACAGG
rnacentral:rRNA from 1 species